ACUACUCAGAAGAGAUCUGUGUGCUACAUGCUGUUUCUGAACAGAAUGUGACCAAGCCCAGCUGUCAGUAUUCAGCUGAAAUGUGCCUUGGAGAGCAGUCAUUUCAUUUCAUGCAUGCUGGCCCUUGUCAUGGUGAUUCCAACCUAGACUGGGCUAUUGAAAGGGCAAAGCUCUCUACAAAUAGCUUGAAGAAAGUGCCCUGUGGCUAUGACACCUGCUAUGACUGGGAGGAUUGUCCAGAGACACAGACCCAGUGCUCCUGCCUGAUACCUUACCAGUGCCCCAAAGAAGACAGCCGCCCUCAUUGCAUCCAAAUGGAGUUGACAGGAAGGAGGAGGACAGUCAGUCAUUGCGUGCUGGCAGCGAUGAAAUGUGCAGGCAUCAAACUGAAGGUGCUAGAACAUGGGAACUGCCUGGCAUGACCUUUUGGCUCUCUGCAGACACCAUGAUCACCACAUCAAGCACAGGUUGAGCCAAGGGAAAAAGUUGAAUAUAAAGCAACAAGGAGAUCAAAGACAAAGGAUGAGAAAAAAAAAUAGAGCUCACUUUAUCAGAUUUUUGGGAGAAGGGUAGCAGUGGGCUUUUUCCUGUCUUAAAACGAUCUAGGGUGCGGGGUAUAGGGACUGCUGUCACUGCUGGCAAUUCUGCGGAUGUGCAGAGGGAGGGAGGGGACCAGAUGGGAAGGGAGAAAAAGAAACAUUGCCUCUAGUCUCCGUAGUCCUGCAUGAAAUUUUUCCUUUCCUCAGCCGUUUUUUUCUUUGUCCUUGUGCUUGUGACUGCUGUGCAUUCUGGUUGUCUUGGUGGCUGAGUACCUGCUGUACCAUCCAGGCAGGCAGACCAGGCACUUCAGCACCAGUGCACAUUCCUUCUGAUGCAAAUGGGGAUGGGGUAGCAGGACGCUACCUGCACAGGCACUCAUGGUACAAACUCAAGGCGAAAUACAAAAUACUGAAAAAACACAAUUAUGCAAUAACUGAGUGAACUCUUCAAAACCAUGUGAUUUUUAAUUGAAGGGAAGAGGUGUUUGCUUUUUAUGCUUGUUUACUGGGUUUGAGCUUUAGACACCGCUGGGGAAUUUUUAUGGUAUCCUUUGAGGUGAAUUAAGCACAUGUUUGUACUUAAAUAUAAAAGAAACAUUUAAUGAACAAUGCAUUGAGCAGAUGCACUGCAAUACUAGGUUCUACGUGAAGAGGUUCUACUUGGAGUCUGCAAAGAUGCAUCUCAAGCAGGUUCCCUGUAUACACUUGCUCCAGCACCAGUCCUGAGAGCACCUGUACGGACCACCUCAGCCCAACAGUAGGUCCAUUCCCCCAUCAUUCCUUGGUCACAGAUCGUAACCGAAUUUUCCCUUCAACACUAGCAAUUUUACAAAACUAAGGAAUGUAAACUUGCUUUCUGAGAAGGAGAAAACAGGAAGUCACUUUUUUUUUUCACCAGCAGUCAU